rnacentral:rRNA from 1 species
AACGAACGCUGGCGGCAUGCCUAACACAUGCAAGUCGAACGAGAUCUUCGGGUCUAGUGGCGCACGGGUGCGUAACGCGUGGGAAUCUGCCCUUUGGUUCGGAAUAACAGUUGGAAACGACUGCUAAUACCGGAUGAUGACGAAAGUCCAAAGAUUUAUCGCCAGAGGAUGAGCCCGCGUAGGAUUAGCUAGUUGGUGUGGUAAAGGCGCACCAAGGCGACGAUCCUUAGCUGGUCUGAGAGGAUGAUCAGCCACACUGGGACUGAGACAUGGCCCAGACUCCUACGGGAGGCAGCAGUGGGGAAUAUUGGACAAUGGGCGAAAGCCUGAUCCAGCAAUGCCGCGUGAGUGAUGAAGGCCUUAGGGUUGUAAAGCUCUUUUACCCGGGAUGAUAAUGACAGUACCGGGAGAAUAAGCUCCGGCUAACUCCGUGCCAGCAGCCGCCGUAAGAC